CUUGUAGGGCUCUCUUGCUGUUAUUUGGUCAUAAAUUCUUAUCCAUAUUUCUGACAGAUAAACUACUCCAUGCUCCCCUAAGUUACUUGUGAUUCCACCCUUUAUGUCUAAAACAUGUACCCAUUUUGACCUUAUCUUAGUAAAUGGCGUGAGAAAGUCAUCUAUGGCUAGUUUCUAUCAAACUGCUCUCCAGUCUUCCCAAUAAUUUUUGUCAAAUGAGUUCUUGUCCUAAAAGCAGUAAUCAUUGCAUUUAUCAAACACUAUAUUAAUAUAGUCAUUACUGACUGUACUGUGUACCUCAUCUGUUCCAUAAUCCACCACUUUUAUCUUUUAGCCAAUAACAAAUAGUUUUAAUAAUUGCUGAUGGAUAGGUAGGACAUUUCAUGUUUUAACCCCCAAUAAUUCCCUCAAUAUACCUGAACUUUUGUUUUUCCAAUUGAAUUUUUGGUAGCUUGAUAUGGCACUGAAAUAUAUUAGGAAGAGUUUUUAUUUUAAUUUUAUUAUAUUUAUAUUAUUUCUUAUUGGACUGGCCUACCCAUGAACAAUUCAUAUUUUUCCAGUACAGAUUUGACUUUAUUAAUGUGAAAAAAGUUUUAAGAUUGUUUUCAUAUAGUUAUUGGGUUUGUCUUAGCAGGUAGACUCUCAAGUAUUUUGUAUUGUCUAUGGUUGUUUUAAAUGGACUUUAUUUCUUGCUGCAGGAUAGUGUUGGUAAUAUAUAAAAAUGCUGAUGUUUAUGUGGAUUUAUUUUAGAACCUGCAACUUUGCUAAGAUUGUUAAUUAUUUCAGCUAUUUUUAGUAGAUUCUCUAGGAUAACAUCUGCAAAGAGUGAUAGAUAGUUCUAUUUCCUUAUUGCCUAUUCUAAUUCCUUCAAUUUUCUUCUCUUAUUGCUAUCACUGUUAAAUAUUAGUGGUGAUGAGCAUCUUUGCUUCACCUCUUAUCUGAUUGGGAAGGCUUCUAGAUUGUCAUUAUAGAUAAAGCUUGCUGAUGGUUUUAGAUGAGUACUUAUUUUAAAGAAAGCUUCAUAAUGAUCAAUUCUGAUGGACAUGGCUCUCUUCAACAAUGAGAUAAUUCAAACGAGUACCAUUUGCCCAGUGAUGAAGAAAUCCGUUUACACCCAGAGAGAGGCCUGUGGGAACUGAGUUUGGACCACAACAUAGCUUUCUGUUGAUGUUGAUGUUGAUGUUUGCUUCCAUUUUCUUUUCUUUCUCAGGUUUUUUUUUCUCCAGAUUCAAUUUUUUAAUUUUUUUGUACAGCAAGAUAAUUGUAUAAAUAUGUAUACAUAUAUUGGAUCUAACAUAUAUUUUAACAUAUUUAACAUGUAUUAGACUACCUGCCAUCUAGGGAAGGGGGUGGGAGGAAGGAAGGGAAAAUUUGGAACAGAAAGUUUUGCAAGGG
rnacentral:lncRNA from 1 species